AUUGAACGCUGGCGGCAUGCCUUACACAUGCAAGUCGAACGUCAGCACGGGAGCAAUCCUGGUGGCGAGUGGCGAACGGGUGAGCAAUAUAUCGGAACGUGCCCAGUCGUGGGGGAUAACGCAGCGAAAGCUGUGCAAAUACCGCAUACGAUCUACGCAUGAAAGCGGGGGAUCGCAAGACCUCGCGCGAGUGGAGCGGCCGAUAUCAGAUUAGCUAGUUGGUGAGGUAAAGGCUCACCAAGGCGACGAUCUGUAGCUGGUCUGAGAGGACGACCAGCCAAACUGGAACUGAGACACGGUCCAGACUCCUACGGGAGGCAGCAGUGGGGAAUUUUGGACAAUGGGCGAAGGCCUGAUCCAGCAAUGCCGCGUGCAGGAUGAAGGCCUUCGGGUUGUAAACUGCUUUUGUACGGAACGAAACGGUGAGCUCUAAUACAGUUUGCUAAUGACGGUACCGUAAGAAUAAGCACCGGCUAACUACGUGCCAGCAGCCGCCGUAA
rnacentral:rRNA from 1 species